UAAAUUUCUUUUUAUUUAUGUUUUUAACAGUUAUAGUGACUAUAUAAUUAACAUUACACCCAAGAUUUCCACCAUUAUUGGCAAUUUGACUUACAUCAUGGAUAUGUAAAAGGAUAACUGAAUAGUCUUCAAGGACAUAAGCGGGUAAAAGCUACUGUCUAAUAUAUAAGAAUGGUUCUUUUUCAAAUCUAAAAAUGUUUGGCAUUGU
rnacentral:lncRNA from 1 species